GAUGAACGCUGGCGGCGUGCCUAAUACAUGCAAGUCGAACGCUGGAAAUCUAGCUUGCUCGCUUGAAGGAGUGGCGAACGGGUGAGUAAUACAUAAGCAACCUACCCACGAAGACUGGGAUAAUCUCUGGAAACGGGGACUAAUACCGGAUAGGUAAUCGGAAGGCAUCUUCUGAUUAUUAAAGGUUAAAAACACUGGUGGAUGGGCUUAUGGCGCAUUAGUUAGUUGGUGAGGUAACGGCCCACCAAGACGAUGAUGCGUAGCCGGCCUGAGAGGGUGAACGGCCACAUUUGGACUGAGGCACGGCCCAGACUCCUACGGGAGGCAGCAGUAGGGAAUUUUCGGCAAUGGGGGAAACCCUGACCGAGCAACGCCGCGUGAGUGAUGACGGCCUUCGGGUUGUAAAGCUCUGUUGUAAGGGAAGAACGGUAGAUAGAGAAUAUCUAAAUGACGGUACCUUACCAGAAAGCCACGGCUAACUACGUG
rnacentral:rRNA from 1 species